GAUGAAGAACGCAGUGAAAUGCGAUAAGUAAUGUGAAUUGCAGAAUUCAGUGAAUCAUCGAAUCUUUGAACGCACAUUGCGCCCCCUGGUAUUCCGGGGGGCAUGCCUGUCCGAGCGUCAUUUCAACCCUCAAGCUCAGCUUGGUGUUGGGCCCCGCCGCCCCGGCGGGCCCUAAAGUCAGUGGCGGUGCCGUCCGGCUCCGAGCGUAGUAAUUCUUCUCGCUCUGGAGGUCCGGUCGUGUGCUCGCCAGCAACCCCCAAUUUUUUUCAGGUUGACCUCGGAUCAGGUAGGGAUACCCGCUGAACUUAAGCAUAUCAAUAAGCGGAGGA
rnacentral:misc_RNA from 1 species